rnacentral:tRNA from 1 species
GCUGAUUUGGCUCAGUGGAUAGAGCAUCAGCUUGUCGAAUGAAGGAUCAUGGGUUCGAUUCCCAUCAAGGGCA